UCAGCUCCAGCACAUCACACUAAUACACACUCAGCUCCAGCAAGUCACACUAAUACACACUCAGCUCCAGCAGGUCACACUAAUACACACUCAGCUCCAGCAGGUCACACUAAUACACACUCAGCUCCAGCAGGUCACACUAAUACACACUCAGCUCCAGCAAGUCAUACUAAUACACACUCAGCUCCAGCAGGUCACACUAAUACACACUCAACUCCAGCAGGUCUAAAUACACACUCAGCUC